UACGUAGGGGGCAAGCGGUGUCCGGAAUCAUUGGGCGUAAAGAGCGCGUAGGCGGCCCGAUAAGUCCGCUGUGAAAGUCAAGGGCUCAACCCUUGAAUGCCGGUGGAUACUGUCGGGCUAGGGUCCGGAAGAGGCGAGUGGAAUUCCUGGUGUAGCGGUGAAAUGCGCAGAUAUCAGGAAGAACACCCGUGGCGAAGGCGGUUCUCUGGGACGGUACUGACGCUGAGACGCGAAAGCGUGGGGAGCGAACAGG
rnacentral:rRNA from 1 species